rnacentral:rRNA from 1 species
GACGAACGCUGGCGGCGUGCUUAACACAUGCAAGUCGAGCGGUAAGGCCCUUUCGGGGGUACACGAGCGGCGAACGGGUGAGUAACACGUGGGUGACCUGCCCUCAGCUCUGGGAUAAGCCUGGGAAACCGGGUCUAAUACUGGAUAUGACUCCAUGACGCAUGUUGUGGGGUGGAAAGCCUUGUGCGGCUGAGGAUGGGCCCGCGGCCUAUCAGCUUGUUGGUGGGGUGANGGCCUACCAAGGCGACGACGGGUAGCCGGCCUGAGAGGGCGACCGGCCACACUGGGACUGAGACACGGCCCAGACUCCUACGGGAGGCAGCAGUGGGGAAUAUUGGGCAAUGGGCGCAAGCCUGACCCAGCGACGCCGCGUGGGUGAUGAAGGCCUUCGGGCCGUAAA